GAGCAGGAACCGCCGUUCUCGCAGCUGCAGGACACGGAGCAGUUGGGGCCCCAGCGACCGGGCGGACACGUGCUGUCACAGUGGAUGCCUGUGGGCCAGAGGCAGACUCAAGGAAUGAAAUGGAGAACUGAAGCCCGGAGGAUAUAAAGAAAAGGUGCAUAUGUAGGAAGCAAGAAGAAGAAAAGGUGAAGGAACAGUCAAGAGAAGCAGGAGAAUACCAAGAGCUCAGUUUCACAGGACCAGGAUGGUGGCAUGGCAGAGGGGGUUACCUGUCCAUCCGGCCAGGCAGCAGCAGUGGCCUGUGACGGGAUCGCAGCCAUCGGCGUGGCUGCAGUCACAACGCUCACUGCAGUUCAGCCCAAACGUGCCAUCCUGUGGAGAGAAAAAUGACGAGACCUAGACCCUCAGAGGUUCUCACACUUCUUUCGGAUGUUGAUGACAAAACUGAGCCACUGCCCAACAAGGAUGAAGAGAAACUGGGGCUGGAGCACUGUGGAGGCACUUGUUAUAACUGGGGAUCCAGUGAGGCUACUCCAAAUAAUUCUUUGGCUGCAUUACGAAGAGUAUGCAGUUUGGAGGGAGGGAGGUGUUGGUCCUGCCCUACCUCUCAAUGGUCAAGCUCAGAGAGCUGUAAUGAUCAUGAAUUAAAAUUGUGAA